CCUACGGGUGGCAGCAGUGGGGAAUAUUGCACAAUGGGGGAAACCCUGAUGCAGCGACGCCGCGUGAGUGAAGAAGUAUUUCGGUACGUAAAGCUCUAUCAGCAGGGAAGCAAAUGACGGUACCUGACUAAGAAGCACCGACUAACUACGUGACAGCAGCCGCGGUAAUACGUAGGGGGCAAGCGUUAUCCGGCUUUACUGGGUGUAAAGGGAGCGUAGACGGAAGCGCAAGUCUGAAGUGAAAACCCAUGGCUUAACCAUGGAACUGCUUUGGAGACUGUGCAGCUGGAGUGCAGGAGAGGUAAGCGGAAUGCCUGGUGUAGCGGUGAAAUGCGUAGAUAUUAGGAGGAACACCAGUGGCGAAGGCGGCUUACUGGACUGUAACUGACGUUGAGGCUCGAAAGCGUGGGGAGCAAACAGGAUUAGAUACCCUGGUAGUC
rnacentral:rRNA from 1 species